CUCUUCUCAGCCGCGUUCUCUCUCUCUCUCUCUCUCUCUCCCGACCUCUCGUUCCCUCUAGGGGUGACUUCCCUCUCUCUUCUUCUUCCCUCUGCUGCCACCAAAGACUCCAGCUCCGGCCACCAUCUCACCACACCGCCACCACUAAUUGACUCUGCACCUAAACCUGACCAAAACCCAGCUGGAAUCACCGGCAUGCAACCACCACCGUUCCCACAACCAUGCCUAGCCGGAAAUGCAACUUCCGACCACUUUCUCCCCUCAGCGCCAUCACAAAUCGAUUCGGAACAAGCCACUCACUCAAAAUCCCGAAGCUUUUGCACCGUCUGACGCUGGAAGACCACCUAACACGCCUCACGUCUGAUCCCCCGCCACUGCCUGUCUCCAAUCCCUAAUUUCCAUUUCGAAUCGGGCUACAAUACGGGCAUGGAUACAAUCAUCGCUUCACGACCUCCCAAAAGUCCAAACUCCGGACCUCUGGUUUCAGCCAGAGCCCCCGCACGCGCCUCACGGGCUGCCGCUGGCACGUGAGCUACCCAGAUACGCCAUGAGCGCCACCGGCUUACUCUUCCAUCUGGUGACCUAGAUUUCGUCACACCUCUCCAUACUUGAAACCACUAUUUUGAUUUGGACAGAGAACCUUAACUUUAUCGUUUGAAUUCCGGAUUGUGUGAGGUUAUGGAUUUAUGCAGUUUUGGGAGUUUUGGAAACGAGGAAGCCACUGUGUCAGUUUUGAUUACGACUGAAAGAGGGUGUUGAAACUGUUGUCGAUAGUGGAUUGCAGCAGCGACGACUUGAUUCCUAAUUUGGAAAAGAAGAGCGGACUCGAGCGUGUGCACAUGGAAUUGGAUGAAGUAUUGGAAAAUCUAGAACGUACCUUUGUGUGGAUGAGCACUCCAUAUCCAGUGUGCAGGUUUGAGCACGUGGUCGGGGAGCGUACAGAGGGGGCACAUGGUUCGGCUUGGCGCAUUCUUCUUGACUUAUUUAAAAGAAGGUUUUGGCCCCUUAUCAGAUUUUGAAGUAGCUUAUUUAUUUACUUUUUAUUUAUUUCCUACUCGUUUACCAAAACUUCGAGAGGCCCGUAACCCUGGGGCGCGUCUCUCGCACUUGUAGUUACUUAGUGAUUUGUUUUUCAAAUUGGGCUCCGAUUGUAAGCCCAAAACUCAUAGCCCAUUUCAAAUUCCGCUUUUGAAAAUAUGUUGUUUGGUUGCCAGAAUGAUUUGUCCAA